AUUGAACGCUGGCGGCAGGCCUAACACAUGCAAGUCGAGCGGAUGAAGGGAGCUUGCUCCUGGAUUCAGCGGCGGACGGGUGAGUAAUGCCUAGGAAUCUGCCUGGUAGUGGGGAUAACGUCCGGAAACGGGCGCCAAUACCGCCUACGUCCUGAGGGCGGAAGUGGGGGAUCCUCGGACCUCACGCUAUCAGAUGAGCCUAGGUCGGAUUAGCUAGUUGGUGGGGUAAAGGCCUACCAAGGCGACGAUCCGUAACUGGUCUGAGAGGAUGAUCAGUCACACUGGAACUGAGACACGGUCCAGACUCCUACGGGAGGCAGCAGUGGGGAAUAUUGGACAAUGGGCGAAAGCCUGAUCCAGCCAUGCCGCGUGUGUGAAGAAGGUCUUCGGAUUGUAAAGCACUUUAAGUUGGGAGGAAGGGCAGUAAGCUAAUACCUUGCUGUUUUGACGUUACCAACAGAAUAAGCACCGGCUAACUUCGUG
rnacentral:rRNA from 1 species